GAUGAACGCUGACAGAAUGCUUAACACAUGCAAGUCAACUUGAAUUUGGGUUUUUAACUUAGAUUUGGGUGGCGGACGGGUGAGUAACGCGUAAAGAACUUGCCUCACAGCUAGGGACAACAUUUAGAAAUGAAUGCUAAUACCUGAUAUUAUGAUUUUAAGGCAUCUUAGAAUUAUGAAAGCUAUAAGCACUGUGAGAGAGCUUUGCGUCCCAUUAGCUAGUUGGAGAGGUAACAGCUCACCAAGGCGAUGAUGGGUAGCCGGCCUGAGAGGGUGAACGGCCACAAGGGGACUGAGACACGGCCCUUACUCCUACGGGAGGCAGCAGUGGGGAAUAUUGGACAAUGGACCGAGAGUCUGAUCCAGCAAUUCUGUGUGCACGAUGAAGUUUUUCGGAAUGUAAAGUGCUUUCAGUUGGGAAGAAAUAAAUGACAGUACCAACAGAAGAAGUGACGGCUAAAUACGUGCCAGCAGCCGCGGUAAUACGUAUGUCACGAGCGUUAUCCGGAUUUAUUGGGCGUAAAGCGCGUCUAGGUGGUUAUGUAAGUCUGAUGUGAAAAUGCAGGGCUCAACUCUGUAUUGCGUUGGAAACUGUAUAACUAGAGUACUGGAGAGGUAAGCGGAACUACAAGUGUAGAGGUGAAAUUCGUAGAUAUUUGUAGGAAUGCCGAUGGGGAAGCCAGCUUACUGGACAGAUACUGACGCUAAAGCGCGAAAGCGUGGGUAGCAAACAGG
rnacentral:rRNA from 1 species